UUUUCGUUGGCGCAGCGAUCUCCUCCUAGGCUGCUCUUCUUUCUUCGACCUUCCGGGUAGACCACCGGUCGGCCCGUUGCACAGAUCUCUCCAACUAUUGAGGACCCAGAGGUGUUUAAAGACAUCGAGAAGCAAAUAGAGAGAGCGUCCAGACACGGUGCAGCCUGAGUUCAUCAGUGGGAUGCCAACAGGACAGUCUAAGCAGUUUCUGGCAACACAAAAGUCACUCCAUUAAUAAUAAGUGUGCAAAAAUGCUCAUGCUACGCACAAAGUGCUGCAAAUGUGAGCACAAUUUCUCAGUGAAAUAAGAAACUUUUCUUGUUUUCUAAAUUAAGAAAAGGUAGACAUUGAUGUCUAGCCUUUGGAAACCAGUCCAGAUCCACACAAGUGGAUUCAUAUUUCUAUUUUGAAUGGAUCAUACAGUUAGAUCUAGAAAUAACUGAAUAAUCAUUUUUAUGAUUCUGGCUAUCAGUCAUGAAACAAAAGUAAUGCAACUAAAGUGCAGACCUGUGUGUUUAAUGCAAGGGAGUGAACAAAAACGUCAUAUGAAGCAUUUAGCAUUUGUUAAUGUAGUCACUUUAUGUUACUAACAAAGGCUAAAUCCAAAUGAAUGAACAGCUUUAGCUGGAACGGCGUGUUGUUUGUUCUUGUUUUGAUUUUUGGAUACAUUUUGGCUGCCGAGUUGGCAUUUUGUGGUGCUUUUUCUCACAAAGGCAUGACAAAAAGGGGAGCAAUACCAUAAAAGGGGGAAAUAUUUUUUACUACAGAACAAAAAGUAAAUGACACACACACACAAAACAACAGCUUGUAAACAAGCCCCCUAUACUGCUACUAUAUGUGUGUGUAUAAUUUUUUUUUAAAGUCCAUCCAAUUAACGCACUUUCAGGCUGUGAGAUCGAACUGAAUGACUAACCCUGUGUUAUCAGAAUCAAAUUAUUAACAUUUUGAUGAAUGUUAUUAUAGUUAAAACUACAACUAGAGGUGAAAAAGUUGACUGAAAUUCAAAGCUAGACUUUUGAAAAAAUAAAAGCUGAAAUGAUUGUGAACAAAAACAUACAAAUUUUCCUAAAUCUUGCCCCGAGGAUAUGCCCUCCAUACAAAUUUAACACUGAAACUAAUAGAAACUAACCUAAAACUAAACAUUUUCAAACAAUACAAAUUAAAUGAGAAAACCCAAACUAACUGGAAAUCAAAAACAAUUCAUGCAAAACAGGGUUACAUUACAGAAUACAGGUGCCAUAUUCAUUAUAACAUAAAAUUGUUCUGCCCUUUGUAUAUGUAUUGAAAACAACAUAAUAAUGUGAAUGCAAAGUAUGGCUUUGUUAUUCAUGAAAAAUAAUGAAGACUCAUUGACAGUAUUUUUCUUUUUUUUUGUUUGUUUUAUUGACAAUGAAAAUUUGUUUGCUCACCACUGUUUCGACCAAAGUACAAGAAGUAGUAAAAAAAAUAAAAAAUAAAAAAAAAAGGGGGGGGGACAGGACACAAAAUAAAGCGAUUUGUUGUUCGUGCAAAUCGAAGAAAUUAAAAUGAAAAAUUAAAAGCUUUUAAGACUUGAUUUUGAGUCGUCCGUCGGAAAUAACUAAAAGACAGAUAACAGGGCAGCACGGCAGGUCACCCUGUGAAAACUGACAGAAAAAGCGUUAACGAUUACACCAAAUGUAAGUCACAGCAAGC
ensembl:lncRNA